CUACUCUUUAUUCCUCUAGUCGUCGGAGACAAAUUUAUCGUCACCGUUGAUAAAAUAUUGGCGAAAAUAUCGGUUUCCAUUAAAACCGAUGACCCCAAUCUAGGCGAACGGGCAAAAGGUGGACUCCAGCAAUUAAUCGCCAUUUUUCUAUUUCUUUUUCUUCUUUUAAGGCUCCUAAAAGGCCUAUUCACUUUCGGCUCUUUCCAAUCGGUAAGAAUCCACUCUCUCGUCCCUGCAAUUCUAGCACGUCAUUUUUUUUUUCUCGAUUUUGCAUUAUAGACCCAAAGCUUUCAAAGUGUUCUCUACAAUGACUCAUUCUGAUAAACCCAG
rnacentral:misc_RNA from 1 species